rnacentral:rRNA from 1 species
UACGUAGGGUCCGAGCGUUGUCCGGAGUUACUGGGCGUAAAGGGCGCGCAGGCGGCGGUGCUGGCCCGGCGUGAAAGCCCCCGGCUCAACCGGGGAGGGUCGUCGGGGACCGCACCGCUUGAGGGCGGUAGGGGCUGGUGGAAUGCCUGGUGUAGUGGUGAAAUGCGUAGAGAUCAGGCGGAACACCGGUGGCGAAGGCGGCCUUCUGGACAGUGACUGGCGCUGAGACGCGAAAGCGUGGGGAGCAAACAGG